rnacentral:rRNA from 1 species
UGAACGCUGGCGGCGUGCCUAAUACAUGCACGUCGAGCGAACAGACGAGGAGCUUGCUCCUCUGACGUUAGCGGCGGACGGGUGAGUAACACGUGGAUAACCUACCUAUAAGACUGGGAUAACUUCGGGAAACCGGAGCUAAUACCGGAUAAUAUAUUGAACCGCAUGGUUCAAUAGUGAAAGACGGUUUUGCUGUCACUUAUAGAUGGAUCCGCGCCGCAUUAGCUAGUUGGUAAGGUAACGGCUUACCAAGGCGACGAUGCGUAGCCGACCUGAGAGGGUGAUCGGCCACACUGGAACUGAGACACGGACCAGACUCCUACGGGAGGCAGCAGUAGGGAAUCUUCCGCAAUGGGCGAAAGCCUGACGGAGCAACGCCGCGUGAGUGAUGAAGGUCUUCGGAUCGUAAAACUCUGUUAUUAGGGAAGAACAAAUGUGUAAGUAACUAUGCACGUCUUGACGGUACCUAAUCAGAAAGCCACGGCUAACUACGUG